UUAGGAGUUUCCGCUGGCCGGUUGAUUUGUGGCUCGCCCGCACGUGUGAUCAUUCGAGAGAUUUAGGCUGUGACGGAGGAAGCGCGCAGAGAUUUCAGCCUCUUUUCGGGGAAAAAAGAGAGAAGAAUCAAUAACCCGGUAUUACUUUCAGAGUGGAGAGCUGACGGGUGUCUGUUUGUCUGAAUGGAAGUUGGAAGCUGCUGGAUUAUGGAUUAUAACAGUCUGAGAGCAGCCAGGAGCAAAACGCUCUGAAGUAAAUGUUCAGUCAUUCCCAAAACAUGGCUUCAGCCAGACCAUACUGGGACCAUCACCAUGCUAUGAAUAGCAUGUACUUCUGUUUCGAUGCUGACCCCAUCGAACACAACCUGAAAACACAUCAACAAGGCACGGCCUCCACGGGCUUUGAAAGUAAGUGCAUGACAUUGAAUUCUCCCAGCACAUUCAUCACAGUGUGUUCCUCUGACUCUGAGGCGGAUGUUUCUCAGGAAGUUCAGAAGGUUAUAGGAAGACAGAUUAUCACCUACUGGGCUGAUAAAUGAUUCCUGUAGUAGGCUUUUCUUUUUUUUCUGUGGCUUAAUCUGUUUUUUUUAUAGAGUUGGCACUGACUGUGUUUUUUUCCUUUUUUAUUUUUUUAUAAAGGCUUAUUUGUUUGAGCUGGUGUAGUUUUACUGUGGGAGGUUCUAUCAAUUAAACUGAAACUAACAAUAUCCAUAAUUUUACCACUUACACACACAACCAUAAAAAAUUAGAGUGCAUUUCCUUAUAUACUUGGCUAAACCUGGAGCUCUCUCUGCAAUAUGAGCCCAUAAAAGGAAGAUCCUGGGUCAUUUGUUUUUUUCCUAUCACUAGUAAUGCCCUAAAAACUAGAAAGGUGAAGACUAGCACAUUCAUCCUUGUGAAUCAGCCAGUGAUGCGGUAUUCCUGGGUAGCCAGUGCACUCAGAGGAAAGCACAGCAACCCGGCUAUGAUGCAUCAGCUAACAGAUGCCUGUACUGAGAUGAGAGGAUGACAGGAAAGAGCACCAUCUACCCACCCAAAGAAAGCAGGGCCAAUUUUGCUUGCUCAGACUCCGGCUGCUGAUUGCAACCAAUGAUCCUUGGAUCGUACUGGCAGUGACUUAGUGUGCUGGACAACUCAGAGAGCCCUGACUGCUUAUAUGAGCUUCAUUUCAUACGACUCUCUAUUGUUUAGAAACAAAAGUCACAAUGCAUUCAAACGCAAAAACGGCUCAUAUUGUCAGCUACAAUGUUUUCAUUCUAAUGUGUAUUGUGGGAGUUUAUACUGCCCUCAAAAUUACAUUUAAUAAUGUCCUAAAACCUAAAUAGGGACACAUUUCAUUCAUAGCCUCAAGAUUUGUCCCUUGCCAUGCAAUACCAACGUCUUUUUAACAAGUCAGUUUAUUCAACGCCCAUCUUUGCAGCGCCACCGAGCAGCUAUUUCGUCUUAUACAAGAUCAGACAUCUGUUUGAAUAGGGGGAGUCCAAAAUACUCUAAACCAAGAGUCAGAUUAUUAUUUUAGCAACACAUUUUAAAUAAUUU
rnacentral:lncRNA from 1 species